UACGUAGGUGGCAAGCGUUGUCCGGAUUUACUGGGCGUAAAGGGAGCGUAGGCGGACACUUAAGUGGGAUGUGAAAUCCCCGGGCUUAACCCGGGAGCUGCAUUCCAAACUGGGUGUCUAGAGUGCAGGAGAGGAAAGUGGAAUUCCUAGUGUAGCGGUGAAAUGCGUAGAGAUUAGGAAGAACACCAGUGGCGAAGGCGACUUUCUGGACUGUAACUGACGCUGAGGCUCGAAAGCGUGGGGAG
rnacentral:rRNA from 1 species